UGAACCUGCGGAAGGAUCAUUAUCGAAUCUUUGAAGGAGCUGC
rnacentral:rRNA from 1 species